rnacentral:rRNA from 1 species
UACAGAGGUCCCGAGCGUUGUUCGGAUUCACUGGGCGUAAAGGGUGCGUAGGUGGUGAGGUAAGUCGGAUGUGAAAUCUCCAGGCUCAACCUGGAAACUGCAUUGGAAACUACCUUGCUAGAGGGUUUGAGGGGGGACUGGAAUUCUCGGUGUAGCAGUGAAAUGCGUAGAUAUCGAGAGGAACACCAGUGGCGAAGGCGAGUCCCUGGAAAACACCUGACACUGAGGCACGAAAGCUAGGGGAGCAAACGGG